rnacentral:rRNA from 1 species
UACAGAGGGUGCGAGCGUUAAUCGGAAUUACUGGGCGUAAAGCGCGCGUAGGCGGCUUUGCAAGUCGGGUGUGAAAUCCCCAGGCUUAACCUGGGAACUGCAUUCGAGACUGCAUCGCUCGAACGUCGGAGAGGUAAGUGGAAUUCCGAGUGUAGAGGUGAAAUUCGUAGAUAUUCGGAAGAACACCAGUGGCGAAGGCGACUUACUGGACGACUGUUGACGCUGAGGUGCGAAAGCGUGGGGAGCAAACAGG